rnacentral:ribozyme from 1 species
GUCGUCUAAGCAGCAAACCGCCACGAGGUAGACGAUGGGCAAUGACCAGCAGGUCGGCUAAUUGCUGCA